rnacentral:lncRNA from 1 species
GCCAAGAAAAGCAAGCACUCCAUGUCGGAGUGUUUGCAAACACUUCCUAAUGGGCCAAAUUAGGUAGACAUAAGAUUUGAUGGUUGAAAAAUAGAUGCUAUCCAGUGGUUAACAGGCAUGUAAUGAGACAACCAACCUAAUGACCGAAACAAGCAUGCCUUUGGAGAAAUCUUAAUUCUAUAUGAAUUUUUGAUUUUGCUAACCUCAUGU